AAGUGCUCUACUAAAGAGUAAGAUCUAAAUCCUGCAAUGAGAGCAGCUAGAAUAGGUUACAAUGUUGUCAGCGAAGUCAGGUCUCUCCUACUCAUUGCUUCUCUUCCUUUCCUUGAUCUAAAUCUGGAGGAUCCAAAGGCAAUCUAGUUAGGGGUUCGGAGAGGAGAGGAACUAGAGCUACAGAAGGCAAGACAGAGAUGCCUUCCACGUCCCAUGCUGCUGCUUGUCGCAUGAAGCAAAGCCAGGGUGAGAGAGAAAAGAGGAUUUUUAAAAAUACUGUUUUGAGUUUUUACUGGCCAUUUUGAUAGCCACACUUAAGAAUUCUUAGGAUUAAGACUGACAUUCUCUCAUCUAAAUGUGACCAAAAAAUAUUAAACCUAAUCUAAAAUUGAUUCAAGAUAUAGGAUGGAUCUAAUUUGAAGAAGAAUUUAAAGAACCAGUCAUAUUAACAUAGAGAGGAAUUGCAUCUUUACCAUUCUGUUAUACAUUAAUUCCUGUGGAUCCUAGUACCUUGGUCACAUCCCUUUUCCAAAGUGAUUCUUGGAUGUGCAUUUCUUACCAUACAUUCAAACAGUAAUAGGGCAGAAUGUCUAUUUUUCUCAAAGAGUGAACUAGGUGUAUCUACAACUUUAACAACGUCACUACACUCUGAAGGGGAUGUACGGACAAUGGCAGGAAGCUAACAAACCAUUCUUUUGUCUAGACACUCUCUUCCUCCCAAACUCUAGAAUAAACAAAUUCAAGACGUGCAGCUGCUCUGGUGUUACGUACAGACAAGAUGGUAAACACAAUCUGACUUUCUUCCUGUCAGAGUAGGCACAGAUACUGGAAAACCCGUUUCUUAUGCUGUAUAUACCACAUUUCAUCUGCCAGAGGAAAGGCCUAAAGAACAAUGUGCUUAUGCCUCUGUGUGUUAUGUGGACAACUGCCAUAUGUUUCUACAGGAUUGUAUUCUCUCUCAUUCAUCAUAGAUACAGUCACCGAAGUUACAUUGUUUUAAUUCACCAAUAUUAAACCAA